UGCCCUGUAUUAAUCAAAGUACGGAUUUUUUUUACUUACAAAAGAUUUUAAUUGACCAUGCAUAUGGUCAUGAACAGUCAUAGUACUAUCAAUAGCAUGUUACUGCCUUCUACAAUUGUUCUGGUUUAAACACAAAUGGCAUGGAAGAAUCAAAGUUAGAACUCUCAAAUGGAGAAACAAACGUUGUGCGGCAAGCAUGGAAUUUUGUGCGACUGGCAUACAAGAUUAAAGUUUAGCAAGCUAUAAAACCAGUUUUAGUCCAGCAUUUUCUACUUUAGAAAAUACCUGUACCAAGUCAGGAAUAUGAAAGUUGUUAUUCAUUCGUUUGAUGUGUUUGAGCUUUUGACUUUACCAUUUGAUAACGGUAUUUUCGUUUUGAAUGUUCCUGGGCGGGGUUCGGUAUUUUUGCUAUUUUAUUUUUUGCAACAAAAAUAUUGUCAGUUACUCUGUAUGCAUGCACCAUAAAGUUUAAGUAAUCAUGACUAAAAUAUAAACGAGUUGUCCCAAUUUUAUUGCGUGCCGAUCUAUCCGCUACAGAGACAAAUAAACGAUCUGCACAUUGUUAAAAUGCACAUUCUGCUUCUAGGCACCAAGACGAUCGGAAUAUAAUCCAACUUCA
rnacentral:lncRNA from 1 species